CCAUUUGAAAUCCAGCUGGCUAAUACCCGGUUGGGAUGACGGUACCCAAAGAAUAAGCACCGGCUAACUUCGUGCCAGCAGCCGCGGUAAUACGAAGGGUGCAAGCGUUACUCGGAAUUACUGGGCGUAAAGCGUGCGUAGGUGGUCGUUUAAGUCCGUUGUGAAAGCCCUGGGCUCAACCUGGGAACUGCAGUGGAUACUGGACGACUAGAGUGUGGUAGAGGGUAGCGGAAUUCCUGGUGUAGCAGUGAAAUGCGUAGAGAUCAGGAGGAACAUCCAUGGCGAAGGCAGCUACCUGGACCAACACUGACACUGAGGCACGAAAGCGUGGGGAGCAAACAGGAUUAGAUACCCUGGUAGUCCACGCCCUAAACGAUGCGAACUGGAUGUUGGGUGCAAUUUGGCACGCAGUAUCGAAGCUAACGCGUUAAGUUCGCCGCCUG
rnacentral:rRNA from 1 species